rnacentral:rRNA from 1 species
AGUGAACGCUGGCGGUAGGCCUAACACAUGCAAGUCGAACGGCAGCACAGUAAGAGCUUGCUCUUAAGGGUGGCGAGUGGCGGACGGGUGAGGAAUACAUCGGAAUCUACUUUUUCGUGGGGGAUAACACAGGGAAACUUACGCUAAUACCGCAUACGACCAACGGGUGAAAGCAGGGGAUCUUCGGACCUUGCGCGAUUGAAUUAGACGAUGUCGUAUUAGCUAAUUGGCGGUGUAAAGGCCCACCAAGGCGACGAUCCGUAGCUGGUCUGAGAGGAUGAGCAGCCACACUGGAACUGAGACACGGUCCAGACUCCUACGGGAGGCAGCAGUGGGGAAUAUUGGACAAUGGGCGCAAGCCUGAUCCAGCCAUACCGCGUGGGUGAAGAAGGCCUUCGGGUUGUAAAGCCCUUUUGUUGGGAAAGAAAAGCAGCAGGUUAAUACCCCGCUGUUCUGACGGUACCCAAAGAAUAAGCACCGGCUAACUUCGUG